rnacentral:rRNA from 1 species
UGCGUAGGGUGCAAGCGUUAAUCGGAAUUACUGGGCGUAAAGCGUGCGCAGGCGGUUGUGUAAGUCAGAUGUGAAAUCCCCGGGCUCAACCUGGGAAUUGCAUUUGAGACUGCACGGCUAGAGUGUGUCAGAGGGGGGUAGAAUUCCACGUGUAGCAGUGAAAUGCGUAGAGAUGUGGAGGAAUACCGAUGGCGAAGGCAGCCCCCUGGGAUAACACUGACGCUCAUGCACGAAAGCGUGGGGAGCAAACAGG